UAAAAGUUCAUAUCUGGCACCUGACUGCAGUUCCUACUAGCACGGACCAAGAAGGUUUGCAGAUUUUGAUAAUCAUCUGAAAGCACGCCGGUGUCUCUACUUUUUGGCUAUGGAAGAAGUCAUUCCUAGGAUGUUCACAGCAACGUGUGUUAGCAAAGUCCUUCAGCAACGUCCCCUUCAUGGACAGGAGGAAGAGUUGUCACCCGGUCAGAUCUCACCUGGGGCAGGUGCUGAAAUGGAUAAGGAAGAGACUGUCUGUGUUUAUUCUUUAUGGACCACUUCUCCAAGACCUGGAGCUCUGUUUGGCAUAUGGGCACAGCUAUGCAGUGUGCAAAGUUCCUUCUCAUCCUGUUUCUACAUCUUACAACAUCUGCAUCUGAAAGGCCAUCAGCAACAGAGAUGCAAACUAUUUUCCAGCUGUUAACAAACAGAUGGUGAUUAAAACUGGCAACUGUCAACACGCGCCUUUAAAAACAAAACACGGGAAAAUGAUUUGUAAAAAAGAAAGAA